rnacentral:rRNA from 1 species
UACGUAGGUGGCAAGCGUUGUCCGGCAUUAUUGGGCGUAAAGCGCGCGCAGGUGGUUUCUUAAGUCUGAUGUGAAAGCCCACGGCUCAACCGUGGAGGGUCAUUGGAAACUGGGGAGCUUGAGUGCAGGAGAGAAGAGUGGAAUUCCAGGUGUAGCGGUGAAAUGCGUAGAUAUCUGGAGGAACACCGGUGGCGAAGGCGGCAUCCUGGACCAAUUCUGACACUGAGGAGCGAAAGCCAGGGGAGCAAACGGG